GUAGGUGGCAAGCGUUGUCCGGGAAUUAUUGGGGCGUAAAGCGCGCGCAGGCGGUUCUUUAAGUCUGAUGUGAAAGCCCACGGGCUCAACCGUGGGAGGGUCAUUGGAAACUGGAGAACCUGAGUACAGAAGAGGAAAGCGGAAUUCCACGUGUAGCGGUGAAAUGCGUAGAGAUGUGGAGGAACACCAGUGGCGAAGGCGGCUUUCUGGUCUGUAACUGACGCUGAGGCGCGAAAGCGUGGGGAGCAAACAGGAUUAGAUACCCUGGUAGUCCACGCCGUAAACGAUGAGUGCUAAGUGUUAGGGGGUUUCCGCCCCUUAGUGCUGCAGCUAACGCAUUAAGCACUCCGCCUGGGGAGUACGGCAGCAAAGGCUGA
rnacentral:rRNA from 1 species